AUUGAACGCUGGCGGCAGGCCUAACACAUGCAAGUCGAGCGGAGCGGCAGACGGGUGAGUAAGGCUUAGGACUCUGAAUGGUAGCGGGGGAUAAGGAUCGGAAACGGGCGCUAAUACCGAAACCUAUUGGAUGAGCAUAGGUCGGAUUAGCUAGUGGGUGGGGUAAAGGCCUAGCAAGGCGACGAUCCCUAACUGGUCUGGGAGGAUGAUCAGCCACACUGGGACUGAGACACGGUCCAGACUCCUACGGGAGGGAGCAGUUGGGAAUAUUGGACAAUGGGCGAAAGCCUUAUCCAGCCAUGCCGCGUGUGUGAAGAAGUGCUUCGGAUUGUAAAGCACUUUAAGUUGGGAGGCGUUACCAACAAAAUAAGCACCGGCUAACUUCGUGCCAGCAGCCGCGGUAAUAC
rnacentral:rRNA from 1 species